rnacentral:rRNA from 1 species
AGUGAACGCUGGCGGUAGGCCUAACACAUGCAAGUCGAACGGCAGCACAGUAAGAGCUUGCUCUUACGGGUGGCGAGUGGCGGACGGGUGAGGAAUACAUCGGAAUCUACUUUUUCGUGGGGGAUAACGUAGGGAAACUUACGCUAAUACCGCAUACGACCUACGGGUGAAAGCAGGGGAUCUUCGGACCUUGCGCGAUUGAAUGAGCCGAUGUCGGAUUAGCUAGUUGGCGGGGUAAAGGCCCACCAAGGCGACGAUCCGUAGCUGGUCUGAGAGGAUGAUCGGCCACACUGGAACUGAGACACGGUCCAGACUCCUACGGGAGGCAGCAGUGGGGAAUAUUGGACAAUGGGCGCAAGCCUGAUCCAGCCAUACCGCGUGGGUGAAGAAGGCCUUCGGGUUGUAAAGCCCCUUUUGUUGGGAAAGAAAAGCAGCAGGUUAAUACCCCGCUGUUCUGACGGUACCCAAAGAAUAGCACCGGCUAACUUCGUG